AUGGCCUCAGGUAAAUCAUCGGCUCUGGCCCCAACAUUCUAUUCUCUAAACUAUAGAUGGUGAUGCAAGAUCUUCACAGAGGUCCUGGUAAUGAGUUAAUAGAUUGAAAGCGUUUAUUGCUUGGCGCUCAGUCAAUGGUAGCUGAUAACAAUGGUGGUCAUUCCAUAGUAUGGAAUAUGAACAUAAAAAUUCUUGCAUUUUUAUGAGCCUGCUCCAGGGCCCAGGUGUCAAGUUCUGGCCAGUCCUUCGGCAGUGUGGCUUAUAGCUCUUCCAUGAGUCUCCAUCCCAGGCCUGAGAUCUCACAGAACCAACGCAGCCUCAGACAGGAGCUGUCUGCUUGCAAAAUCAGGAAGGCACCUGGAUGUGCAAGGACACCGAGAAGAGGGUCUCUGAAGCCGCCGUCCCACAAAGCUUGAUGCCAAAGCCCGCUGGGAUAGACGAGAGCUCAUCACUUGCCCAAGACAUGUGGGGGCAGGUGUUCCCCUUUUCCUUCGCUUUGCCCAGUGUCAAGCCACCCUCGCUCUUGAAAUACUCUUUAUAACCUUCUCAAAAUGUGUCCUUUCAACAUCA